UUCACCCAUCAAUUGAACACUACGAGGCGGCGACGCCGCCCCCUCCAUCAAUUGAGCGCCCAGAUCCACCCAUCGUCUUCCCCUUUCUCUUCCCCACCCCCAACCCUAAUUUUCUGAAAUUUCACGGAAUUGUGUGGGGGGAAGUGGCGGCGUCGCGCGACUCCACGAGGCCGAGGCGCAGCGCCUCCGCGACGGCUUCCAGCACGGC
rnacentral:lncRNA from 1 species